AAUUUGAUUUAAUCAACUCCAAUUCUAUUGGUUUGUGUCAGAGUCGGUUCCUCUACCUAUCAAGCUUUAUCAAGAUUGCUCUUAACGAUAUUAGUUCCUUCAUCAAGAAUUUUUUUUUCUAAAAAGAAUACCUUAAGAUUCAUGAACAUCUCAUAUCCAUCUGAAAGGUAGAAGGAAUAUCUCUAAAAUAAUAUUUAUCAGGCC
rnacentral:lncRNA from 1 species